rnacentral:rRNA from 1 species
CUUGACUGUAGCCUGAAAUUGAAUUUGGGUUUUUUUUGCGCAGACUAGGUGGGAGGCGUUGAUAAUUUUCUUUUGGGAAAAUUGGAGCCAACAGUGAGAGACCACUCUGGAAAAGCUAGAAUUCUAAUGGCGUUCCUUGAAGCAGGACGCUUGACAGUUUCAGGUGGGCAGUCUGACUGGGGCGGUCAUCUCUUAAAAGGUAACAGAGAUGUGCAAAGGUUCCUUCAGGCUGGACGGAAAUCAGCCGUAGAGUAUAAAGGCAGAAGGGAGCUUGACUGUAAGACCUACAAGUCAAACAGGGGCGAAAGCCGGCCUUAGUGAUCCGACGGUACCGAGUGGAAGGGCCGUCGCUAAACGGAUAAAAGUUA